rnacentral:pre_miRNA from 1 species
CCCUUCAUUCCACCGGAAUCUGUCACCGCAAAAACCGGAUUUCUGUGAAAUGAAGCCCA